rnacentral:lncRNA from 1 species
UUUCUUUUGAGAAAGGGUACAUCCAUCUUGCCAGGUGAGGAUAUUUUGUCUUUUUUGACAUAUGUCUUUCAUAUCUCUGUCUUUAAGCAAACUGAUAAACAUCAUUAUUGUUUAUUUUAUCAUCACAACUGUUAUUCACUGCUUCUUCACUAAACUGCUGUUUUUCCUCUGCUGGAGCAAUUAUUAGUUGCUGUAGCUCCCUUUUUUCAGGAGGGCGGAUUAUCAUUUACUUCUGAGACUUUUUUCAGCCAAAAUGCCUCUAUUGGAAUACUAGUUACCAUAUUUUCAGAUCUUUUAUCUUGAAACACCACAUCCCAGUGAUAGAAAAAGCUUUUCACUUCUUAACUUGUUUUCUCCCAAAGCAAUGGAACAUCCCCCCUUCCCCCAGCUUACUUUUCUACAUUGAUUAAAGCAACUUAUUUUUUUUUUUUAAUUUCAUUCAGUUCAUACUGGAAUCUUGCACAAAUUAUCUUGAGUCUUUAAUAAACUCAAAGAAGAAUAUACAGAGGCAGCUACAGGGCUUACCGGAUAGAGCUCCAGACAGGAGGUCCUAACUGUGACUCUGGGCAAGUAACUUAACUCCAAUUUCCUAUCCCCUGUUGCCCUUCUGCUUUGGAACUAAUACUCUGGAUCAAUUCUAAACAGAAGUUUGAACUCAAUCAACUAUGACAUGUCUUGGGAUUUUACCAGAAUCACAGACAGUUGCAUCAUCUUUUGAAUAUGCACUCUCCUCUCUUCUGGAACUAAGCAGACAAUGCAAAGAAGCAGGGGACCAGAGAAAUCAUGAAAACAACUAGGUAUCUUAACCAACAGACUUCUGACAGGAAUAAGAUCCCUUUAGGAAAUCGGAUUCCUGAGUUGUUUGCAGAGUUGGUAUGUGAUGUUUCUGUCAAAGAAUAUCCUUUUGCAAAGUACACAUUAACUAUAACAUCUAUAAACACUUGAGUAACAAUAUUUUACAGAUGAAUUUCUUUACUCCAGAUUCUGGGGAAAAUUCAGGAGAGCUUUGAGCUAUUCCAAGCUCAAGAUCCAAACUGCACUUAAGGUUGCAUAUACAAGCCAUCAAUUAAUAAACUUCACUUACUUCUCA